CCCAAUUGAUUGAUGGUGCUUGCACCUGAUUGAUUUUGGUCGCCAACGAGUGGCGGACGGGUGAGUAACACGUAGGUAACCUGCCCAGAAGCGGGGGACAACAUUUGGAAACAGAUGCUAAUACCGCAUAACAGCGUUGUUCGCAUGAACAACGCUUAAAAGAUGGCUUCUCGCUAUCACUUCUGGAUGGACCUGCGGUGCAUUAGCUUGUUGGUGGGGUAACGGCCUACCAAGGCGAUGAUGCAUAGCCGAGUUGAGAGACUGAUCGGCCACAAUGGGACUGAGACACGGCCCAUACUCCUACGGGAGGCAGCAGUAGGGAAUCUUCCACAAUGGGCGCAAGCCUGAUGGAGCAACACCGCGUGAGUGAAGAAGGGUUUCGGCUCGUAAAGCUCUGUUGUUAAAGAAGAACACGUAUGAGAGUAACUGUUCAUACGUUGACGGUAUUUAACCAGAAAGUCACGGCUAACUACGUGCCAGCAGCCGCGGUAAUACGUAGGUGGCAAGCGUUAUCCGGAUUUAUUGGGCGUAAAGAGAGUGCAGGCGGUUUUCUAAGUCUGAUGUGAAAGCCUUCGGCUUAACCGGAGAAGUGCAUCGGAAACUGGAUAACUUGAGUGCAGAAGAGGGUAGUGGAACUCCAUGUGUAGCGGUGGAAUGCGUAGAUAUAUGGAAGAACACCAGUGGCGAAGGCGGCUACCUGGUCUGCAACUGACGCUGAGACUCGAAAGCAUGGGUAGCGAACAGGAUUAGAUACCCUGGUAGUCCAUGCCGUAAACGAUGAGUGCUAGGUGUUGGAGGGUUUCCGCCCUUCAGUGCCGGAGCUAACGCAUAAGCACUCCGCCUGGAGACGCCGCCC
rnacentral:rRNA from 1 species